GGGUCGAUGCCCGAGUGGUUAAAGGGGGCGGAUUGUAAAUCCGCUGGUUUUUUCCUACGUUGGUUCAAAUCCAACUCGGCCCA
rnacentral:tRNA from 1 species